rnacentral:rRNA from 1 species
GUGUCAGCAGCCGCGGUAAGACGUAGGGGGCGAGCGUUGUCCGGAUUUAUUGGGCGUAAAGAGCUCGUAGGCGGCUCAGCAAGUCGGGUGUGAAACCUCCAGGCUCAACCUGGAGACGCCACCUGAUACUGCUGUGGCUAGAGUCCGGUAGGGGAACACGGAAUACCCGGUGUAGCGGUGAAAUGCUUAGAUAUCGGGUGGAACACCAGUGGCGAAGGCGGUGUUCUGGGCCGGAACUGACGCUGAGGAGCGAAAGCGUGGGUAGCAAACAGGAUUAGAUACCCUGGUAGUCC